rnacentral:rRNA from 1 species
AGAGUUUGAUCCUGGCUCAGAACGAACGCUGGCGGCAGGCCUCAAACAUGCAAGUCUAGGGGGUGUAGCAAUACAUCACCGGCGGACGGGUGCGUAACACGUGGGAAUAUACCUUUCGGUACGGAACAACUGCGGGAAACUGCAGCUAAUACCGUAUACGUCCUUCGGGAGAAAGUUUUUCGCCGAAAGAUUAGCCCGCGUUCGAUUAGCUAGUUGGUGAGGUAAUGGCUCACCAAGGCGACGAUCGAUAGCUGUUCUGAGAGGAAGAUCAGCCACACUGGGACUGAGACACGGCCCAGACUCCUACGGGAGGCAGCAGUUGGGAAUCUUGGACAAUGGGGGAAACCCUGAUCCAGCCAUGCCGCGUGAGUGAUGAAGGCCUUCGGGUUGUAAAGCUCUUUUACCCGGGAAGAUAAUGACUGUACCGGGAGAAUAAGCUCCGGCUAACUUCGUGCCAGCAGCCGCGGUAAUACGAAGGGGGCUAGCGUUGUUCGGAAUUACUGGGCGUAAAGCGUGCGCAGGCGGUUUUCCAAGUCAGUGGUGAAAGCCCGGAGCUCAACUCCGGAACUGCCAUUGAAACUGUUGAACUUGAGGACGAGAGAGGUGAGUGGAAUUCCCAGUGUAGAGGUGAAAUUCGUAGAUAUUGGGAAGAACACCGGUGGCGAAGGCGGCUCACUGGCUCGUUUCUGACGCUCAUGCACGAUAGCGUGGGGAUCAAACAGGAUUAGAUACCCUGGUAGUCCACGCCGUAAACGAUGAUUGCUAGCCGUUGGGGGCCAGCUUGCUGUUCAGUGGCGCAGCUAACGCAUUAAGCAAUCCGCCUGGGGAGUACGGCCGCAAGGUUGAAACUCAAAUGAAUUGACGG